CGACACACUAUCAUUAACCGAAUCCAUAGGUUAAUGAGGCGAACCGGGGGAACUGAAACAUCUAAGUACCCCGAGGAAAAGAAAUCAACCGAGAUUCCCCAAGUAGCGGCGAGCGAACGGGGAGCAGCCCAGAGCCUGAAUCAGUGUGUGUGUUAGUGGAAGCGUCUGGAAAGGCGCGCGAUACAGGGUGACAGCCCCGUACACAAAAAUGCACAUAUUGUGAGCUCGAUGAGUAGGGCGGGACACGUGGUAUCCUGUCUGAAUAUGGGGGGACCAUCCUCCAAGGCUAAAUACUCCUGACUGACCGAUAGUGAACCAGUACCGUGAGGGAAAGGCGAAAAGAACCCCGGCGAGGGGAGUGAAAAAGAACCUGAAACCGUGUACGUACAAGCAGUGGGAGCACGCUUAGGCGUGUGACUGCGUACCUUUUGUAUAAUGGGUCAGCGACUUAUAUUCUGUAGCAAGGUUAACCGAAUAGGGGAGCCGAAGGGAAACCGAGUCUUAACUGGGCGUUAAGUUGCAGGGUAUAGACCCGAAACCCGGUGAUCUAGCCAUGGGCAGGUUGAAGGUUGGGUAACACUAACUGGAGGACCGAACCGACUAAUGUUGAAAAAUUAGCGGAUGACUUGUGGCUGGGGGUGAAAGGCCAAUCAAACCGGGAGAUAGCUGGUUCUCCCCGAAAGCUAUUUAGGUAGCGCCUCGUGAAUUCAUCUCCGGGGGUAGAGCACUGUUUCGGCAAGGGGGUCAUCCCGACUUACCAACCCGAUGCAAACUGCGAAUACCGGAGAAUGUUAUCACGGGAGACACACGGCGGGUGCUAACGUCCGUCGUGAAGAGGGAAACAACCCAGACCGCCAGCUAAGGUCCCAAAGUCAUGGUUAAGUGGGAAACGAUGUGGGAAGGCCCAGACAGCCAGGAUGUUGGCUUAGAAGCAGCCAUCAUUUAAAGAAAGCGUAAUAGCUCACUGGUCGAGUCGGCCUGCGCGGAAGAUGUAACGGGGCUAAACCAUG
rnacentral:rRNA from 1 species